rnacentral:rRNA from 1 species
UCGGGAAUUUUGGGCAAUGGGCGAAAGCCUGACCCAGCAACGCCGCGUGAAGGAUGAAGUAUUUCGGUAUGUAAACUUCGUAAGAAUAGGAAGAAUAAAUGACGGUACUAUUUGUAAGGUCCGGCUAACUACGUGCCAGCAGCCGCGGUAAUACGUAGGGACCAAGCGUUGUUCGGAUUUACUGGGCGUAAAGGGCGCGUAGGCGGUUUGUCAAGUCAGUUGUGAAAUCUCCGAGCUUAACUCGGAACGGUCAACUGAUACUGUCAAACUAGAGUACAGAAGGGGCAAUCGGAAUUCUUGGUGUAGCGGUGAAAUGCGUAGAUAUCAAGAGGAACACCUGAGGUGAAGACGGGUUGCUGGGCUGACACUGACGCUGAGGCGCGAAAGCCAGGGGAGCAAACGGGAUUAGAUACCCUUGUAGUCCCUGAGCGGGCUGGCAAGGCGCAU